UAUGGCUCAGGAUGAACGCUAGCGGCAGGCUUAACACAUGCAAGUCGAGGGGGCAUCGGGAGUAGCAAUACUGCCGGCGACCGGCGCAAGGGUGCGUAACGCGUGGGUAACCUGCCCAUAAGAGGGGGAUAACAUCCGGAAACGGGUGCUAAUACCGCAUAGUUUCUUGAUCGCAUGAUCGGGAAAGGAAAGACGGCCUUUGUGCUGUCGCUUAUGGAUGGACCCGCGGCGUAUUAGUUAGUUGGUGAGGUAAUGGCUCACCAAGACGAUGAUACGUAGCCGACCUGAGAGGGUGAUCGGCCACAUUGGGACUGAGACACGGCCCAAACUCCUACGGGAGGCAGCAGUAGGGAAUCUUCCGCAAUGGACGAAAGUCUGACGGAGCAACGCCGCGUGAGUGAAGAAAGGUUUUCGGAUCGUAAAACUCUGUUGUCAGAGAAGAACAAGUUGGAGAGUAACUGCUCCAGCCUUGACGGUAUCUGACCAGAAAGCCACGGCUAACUACGUGCCAGCCGCCGC
rnacentral:rRNA from 1 species